rnacentral:snRNA from 17 species
CGGUGCUCAAUUCCAUCGAGUUUGGAUCGUAGAACGGAGGGUUGGUCAUGACAAAGUCUAGGUCCAGGCG